rnacentral:lncRNA from 1 species
AGGUAGAGAAUCUAUUACUCUUUAUGAAUCCCCAACGUUUUAAGCUGAUGUGUCAUAACUUUCUAAUUUUAAAAUUUUUUUAAUUUAGAAUGAGUCAUUUUAUUCUCUUUCUCAACAUACGUCUUUUCAUCUUCCCCAUUUAAUUUUUUUUUAGAAUGAGCCAUUUUACUCUUUCUCUCUCAACACACGUCUCUUCAUCUCCCUCAUUCAAUUUUUAUCUAUUACUCCUUAUGAAUCCUCAAUGUUUUAAGCCGAUGUGUUAUAACCUCCUAAUCUUAAAAUUUUUUUAAUUUAGAAUGAGCCAUUUUAUUCACUCUCAACAUACGUCUUUUUAUCUCCCCUAUUCAAUUUUUAUUUAGAAUGAGCCAUUUUACUCUCCCUCUUUCCAAACAUACGUCUUCUCAUCUCCCCCAUUUUAUUCUCUCUCUCUCAACAUACGUCUCUUCUCCCAUUUAAUUUUUAUUUAGAAUGAGCUAUUUUACUCUCUCUCUUCAUUGUUGGUAGAUGUACCAAGUGAGAUACACAAAAAAAUAUUCAAUAUUUUAUUAUUAUUAAUUACUACUAUAGUUUUUACCCGCUGCAAAGCGCGGGACUCUUCACUAGUAAAAAUUUUAUCAGGACCAUUUUAUGGUGAGAUUGUGAGACCCCAGAUAGUCCUAUAUAUAAGAUAUAAUAUGACUAAAAAUUCUUAACUCAGUUUAAGCAUUUUGGGUAAUGGCUAGGUUUAAGAGAUUAAAAGAGUUAAGCGUGUUAGAACGGGAGUAAUUCUAGGAUGGGCGACCUCUUAGGAAGUUGGAGCAUCACAGUUGGUAUCAGAAUCAAUUACCAGCCGAAAGUGUAAAAUGAAUAUCCAUUGAGUCAGGAUUAUACAGCGGGAAGAACAAAGUUCUCAUGCUAUUGACUGUUGUGGGAAGAGCGCUGCUCCCUCACUAGUUUGGUUUAGACUAGCAAGACGAGCUAGUCUCACAUCGCUUGGUACUUGUGAGUCUGAGCUUGACGAGGAUGUUAGGUGGCUUCCCUACAAAGUCGGUUUAGGCUGGCGAGACGAGUAUCACAUCGCCUGAUACUAUUGAGUUUGAGUCUGACGAGGACGUUAGGGGGCUCCCCUACAAGGUCGGUUUAGGGCAUGUUUGUUUCAACGUAAGUAGACUUGGGGUGGAAGUGGACUUUGAGUUGAAGUGGAGUUGGGGUGAAAAUUAGUUCACUUAUGCUGUUUGUUUCUAGCUGUGCAAGUGCAGUUCUGCAAGUUCUGUUGUUUGUUUGGUAGGAAGUAGAUGACAUAAAAAGUAUAGCUCUCUACCCCCGGUAUACUUACCUCCAAAGUGAUAUCAUUGUCUAUUUUGUAACUUAUAGUGAAUAAUAAAUUAUAAUAAAUAAAAUUAAUAUAAUUAUAUAUGUAUAUAAUUAUAUAUGUAUAUAAUUAUAUAUAUGUAUAAUUAUAAAAUAAAAUUUUUAAAAAUUAUAUUAUUUGUUUGCAUAUAAAUUAUAAUAAUGCAACAAAUAAAAUUCUAAAGUUAAAAAAUUAUUAACAUUUAACAAAUUCAUUUUUCAUCAUUUUUUAAAUAUACAAAUUAAACAAAAAAAUAUAUUAAAGCUUACCUAAUCAAAUUUGAUCAUAUUUUAGAAGAGGUAAUCCUAACACAUUAAUCCAUUUUUGCCUUUUUUUCACUUCACCGGAAUUGACUUCGCCCUAUGGGAGGGCGAAGUCAAGUUCAUUAUUUUAGAUGAACUGGACUUUCGAGCGUAAUAAAAUUACAGUGAACCAAACAGUGGAAGUGAUCAGUUUUCACCGAAAAUCACUUCCCUCGUCCCACUUCCACCCCACUUCCCUCGAAACAAACAUGCCCUUAGAUUAGCAAGAUGAGUCUCAUAUCGCCUGAUACUUGUGAGUCUGAGCCUGACGAGCACAUCAAGGCUUAAAGAAUGAGAGAAUGUGAGAGCCUAGAUAGUUCUAUAUAUAAGAUAUAAUAGGGCUAAAAAUUUUAACCCUGCUUAAACAUUUUGGGUAGUGACUAGGCCCAAGAGGUUAAGAGAGUUAACUGUGCUAGGUCAGAAGUAGUUUUACGAUGGGCGACCCUCCUGGAAAAUUGAGACGUCACAGUCCCAUGUAGCCCUAUAGAUAAGAUAUAAUAGGGCUAAAACUCUUAACCCGGCUUUAGAAUUUUGAGCAUAGGCCCAAGAGGUUAAGAGAGUUAAGUAUGUUACGACGAUAGUAGUCUUAGGAUGAGUGACCUCCUGAAAAGUUGGAGCGUCACAGUAGGUAUCAGAGUUAAUUACUAGCCAGAAAUAUGAGAUGAGUCUCGACUGUGACAGGAUUAUACAAAGGGGAAAGAGAGACUCUCGAUCAUGUUAUUGACUGUUGUGGGUAGAGUGUGGCUCCCCUAUAAGAUUGGUUUAGGGUAGUGAGACGAGUCUCAUGUCGUCUAAUACUUGUGGGUCUGAGCUUGAUGUAGAUGUCUGUGCUUAAGGGGAGAGAAUGUAAGACCGCAAGUAAUCCUAUAUAAAAUAUAAUAGGGCUAAAACUCUUAACCUGGUUUAAGCAUUUUGGGCGUACGUGUUAGGACGGGAUUAAGAGAGUUAAGCGAGUUAAGCGUACGUGCUAGGCCCAAGAGGUUAAGAGAGUUAAGCAUACAUGUUAGGACGGGAUUAAUUCUAGGAUGGAUGACCCCCUAGAAAGUUGCAGUGUCAAAUAAGGUUAAGAGAGUUAAACGUGUUAGGACGGGAGUGGUAAUAAGAUGGAUAAUCCCCUAGAAAGUUGGGAUAUUACAGAGAUAUGAAAUUUAUUGUGCAGUGCUAUACGUAAAGAACGGAAAAAAAUACAUAAAUGCGCUACAUAUGAUGUCCACCAAGUUAGGACUUUGGAAAUUACCGUGGUGUGCAUUGCAAAAGGUUUGACAUAAUAGAGAUUUUGAUGAAAAAGAUCCAAUUGACCUAACUAAGAAAAGAACUCAAUUGAAAGUUUGAUACACGAGUAAAAAGUCAGAGAUCUAAUUGCAAUAAUUGAAAGAUCAAGAAAUUAAUUAAAAUUUUGGUUACAGAAACUAAAUCCUUAAUGAAGGGAAUUUGAUGGUUAGGGGCACAAUUACCACUCGUCUAAAGAGAUGGUUAGGGACACAAUUUGACGGUUAGGGGCACAAUUAACUUUAGUUUUCUUCUUCUAUUUAGAAAAAUUGAUGGCUUUUGAUUUAAAUACAGAGUGUUAAAUAAUUCGUGAAAUUCUGAUGCAGUUGAGUUCUGCUUACGUAAUUUUUUUUCCUCACAUUCUGCUUAUAAUAAUAUAAGAUUGGUGAAUUAAAUAUUUGUCCUAACUUUAAUGUUUGUUUGAUAUUGUAGGAUGGAUAUUAUCUGAUACUAUUUAGGUGAAAAUCCUGCAGUUGAGUUCUGCUUAUAUAACUCUUUUCAUCAUAUUUUGUCUGCGGCUACAUAUAUAUUAGCAGAGGGCAUACGUUUAAACUGAAAGCAAUAUAUACGCUACAAGAGUGAUGCAUUUAAGGAUCUUAGUAAUUCGUUGUGAAUAAAAAAGUGAUGAAAUUUUUUUGUACCAAUUAUUCCUAGUGCUUAUGUAGUAGUAGAAAAUUUUUUAUUUCUUGAUUGAGAUUAAUAUUGUUGAUUGAAGUUUAUUAAUGUUGAAACAUUUAAAAAAUUUUAUUCAUUACUGCAAAUUUUUCGUAUUGGCAUGUUUGUUUGGUAUUUCAUAAUUAUCGAUGCUUUGGAGUGUCGACAAUUGUAUAAAUUAAAGACUCGUUUUAGAGCCGGUAAUAUGUUGGUAUUUCAUAAUUUAUCGAUACUUUGGAGUGUCGGUAAUUGUUUAAAUUAAUGACUUUUUUUAGAGUCGACACCUAAUAAAUUAUCGACUCUAAAAAGAGUUAGAAAAAGUUUCCCAACGCUAUGUUAAAGUGUCGGUAUAUUUAUUCUGACAUAGUUAUUUAACGACUCUUUAUCCAAUGCUUUUAAAAGCGCCGAUGUUAUUUUUGCCGACGCUUUAAAGCAUCGCUAAUUAAUUAUUAUUUCAAGCGUUCAUAAGUAUAAGAUUUGUUGUACUAACGUAUAUAUGACAUAUAUUAUAAUUAUACAUUGAAAUAUAGAUAUAGAU